GUUCAAUUCAAUUGUAAAAUUGAUCGAAAAAUAAUAAAAAAAAAAAAAAACGAAUAUAGAAGAUACAAAGGUAGAGAAGGUGGAUUGCGCAUACGCCAUGUGGUAUGCGAUGGCUGAAGUUCAGCCAGGAAAAUACCUUUUAUUUGCAUUUCAAAGGCAUGGCGUUGUGGAGUUCACCUAGCACUCACUCAUUAUUUAUGAAUUGAACAGCACAAAAUGCUACAGUGAGAGUGAUAACCACCAUGUAUUAUUUAUGAGACUUCAGCAGUUUCCCCCAAUUUCUGUUUUUCCAGGCAGCUCCUUUUUGUGUGGCCCGCCAAGAACAUUUAUUUUCCGCUGGUUGUGCACAUAAUGUUGGGGCAUUAAAAACAAAACCGCUUAUAAUUAACC
ensembl:ncRNA lncRNA:CR44516 long non-coding RNA:CR44516